ACAGCUAUCAAGGUACCUAUCACUAUGUAAAAUCUUUGUAAAGACCAGGCAACAUAACCAGUCUAGGUGAACUCUCAGUGGGAGGGGCAGAGAUAUGAACAAAAUAGGAAGCUGUCACCUUGAUAGAGAAAUCUGAGUACGAAUCGGACGCGUCUGAUCCAAUCUGCAUACAGAGGAAAACAGAUAGUUUUCAAAGUUGCUGGAGCCCAGCUGUCACUACAACUUUCUAGAGACCUGGAUUGUUUUCUCUUCUUCCCUUUCUUCACCCAAAUAAAAGUAAAUACAGCAGUGAGUCUCCUUAUGUACCUGAUCU